ensembl:snRNA U6 U6 spliceosomal RNA
AUGCUCACUUCAGCAGCACAUAUGCUAAAAGUGGAACAAUCCAGUAAGAUUAGCACAGCCCCUCCGCAAGGAUGGCCACAAAUUCGUGGGGCGUUCCAUAUUUUU